GAUGAACGCUGGCGGCGUGCUUAACACAUGCAAGUCGAACGGAAAGGCCUCAGCUUGCUGGGGUACUCGAGUGGCGAACGGGUGAGUAACACGUGGGUGAUCUGCCCUGCACUUUGGGAUAAGCCCGGGAAACUGGGUCUAAUACCGAAUAUGACCACUUCUUGGAUGUUGUGGUGGAAAGCUUUUGCGGUGUGGGAUGAGCCUGCGGCCUAUCAGCUUGUUGGUGGGGUAAUGGCCUACCAAGGCGGCGACGGGUAUCCGGCCUGAGAGGGGGUACGGACACAUUGGGACUGAGAUACGGCCCAGACUCCUACGGGAGGCAGCGGUGGGGAAUAUUGCACAAUGGGCGCAAGCCUGAUGCAGCGACGCCGCGUGGGGGAUGAAGGCCUUCGGGUUGUAAACUCCUUUCGCUAUCGACGAAGCCACUUGUGGUGACGGUAGGUAGAUAAGAAGCACCGGCUAACUACGUGCCAGCCGCCGCAGUAA
rnacentral:rRNA from 1 species